AUGGUCAUCUGAGGUCAAAUCGAUAGGUAAUUAGAUGGCGUCUGGACUAAAAUACACACGAAACGAACCUAUAUAUUAUCUACCCCAUGCUCUGUAACUGUUUAUUUUUUGAUAGUUUGGAUAAAUGUUUUACAUUGUUAUAAAUCAAAUAUGAGAAUUUGAGUCAAAUCGGUGACCAUGAAUUUGACAGCUAGUGCCCCUU
rnacentral:lncRNA from 1 species